UACUAAUUGUCACCUUAUAGACCCGCAUCCUGUUCUUCUGGCCCUGUCCCGCUGCCUUGCUGGAGAAAGCCUGUGGGGCCAGAGAAUGGGACCGCCAUCCAUUCUGUGGGGCUGGGUGCUCAUGGCUACCAUGAGUACAGGUGCCACGGCGAGCUUGGUGGAGCAAAGGCCCAGGUGGGUCCUGGUAGCUCGUGGACAGGCUAAAACCCUGCACUGCAUCCUGAGGAAUUCCCAGUACCCCUGGAUGAGCUGGUACCAACAGGACCUCCAGGGGUCACUACAGGUGCUGGCCACUCUGCGGAGUCCUGGGGAUGAGGAGGUUGUGUCCCGUCCUGGAGCAGAUUACCGGGUCAAGCGGGUCGACAGCACAGAGCUGAGGCUGCAAGUGACCAAUGUGACCCAGGGCAGAAGCCUCUACUGCACCUGCAGUACACACAGUGAGAGACCCCCCCUUGGACGAGUGAACACAAACCAUCCUGGGCGCCAACCACAGACCCAACCUCCUCCUUCUCCCCGACCCCCUAUGCUCCCCUGUUGCCUCUUCUCUACAAGCGACUCUUCCUGCAGCUUUCCCAUGCCCUUCCGGGAGUGCUCAGCCUGCCUAGCACAGCGAUUUAACCACCAGUUCAACCUCUGA